CCGGAACACCAGACAUUUUUCGGGCGUGGACAGCUGCAUUCUUUCUACAUAGCAUGUUUGAUGAAGGUUGGAGUGCAGACACAUGCUUGUUUUCUCUUGUGUUAUCCAGUAAGGGACAGGGAUUGCAAACACUGGAGGCUUGGAACAAACAACAAAUGAGAUGGCUGUGCUGGGGAAUCUGGGGAUGUCCCUGGCUCUACUUCCACAUUGCCUAUGUCCAGCAGGAAGACAUGGAGGACAGAUAAGGAAAGAGGUACUGCAAUGUGUCAAGCUGGAGGACACUCGGGGAAAUCACCAAGUCACCAUGGACUUGAGUCACAGCCAAAGGACAGCACCUCACAAGAUCGCC